rnacentral:rRNA from 1 species
GGACCCCACUGCUAUCGAGGUGGGACUAAGCCAUGCUAGUCGAACGCACAGAACUAUGUCUGGGAGUGGCACACUGCUCAGUAACACGUAGCUAACCUACCCUUAGGACGUGGAUACCCCCGAGAAAUUGGGGUUAAUCCGCGAUAGAUGUAAUGUCCUGGAAUGGUAUUACGUCUAAAGGUAUUUCAUACAUGUUUGAAAUAUGCCUAAGGAUGGGGCUGCGGCCGAUCAGGCUGUUGGUGAGGUAAUGGCUCACCAAACCUUUGACCGGUACGGGCCAUGAGAGUGGUAGCCCGGAGAUGGACACUGAGACAAGGGUCCAGGCCCUAAGGGGCGCAGCAACCGCGAAACCUCCACAAUGCACUCACGUGCGAUGGGGCUAUCUCGAGUGCCACCUGAUGAAGGUGGCUUUUCCUUGGUCUUCAAAGCCUUGGGAAUAAGAGGGGGGCAAGACUGGUGUCAGCCGCCGCGGUAACACCAGCCCCUCGAGUGGUGGGGAUGAUUAUUUGGCCUAAAGCGUCCGUAGCCGGCCGUGAAAGUCUUCCGUUAAAUCCAGCGUCUCAAGCGUUGGACCGCGGGAGAUACUACAUGGCUAGAGAGUGGGAGAGGUCAGCGGUAUUCUGGGGGUAGGGGCGAAAUCCUUUGAUCCCCGGAGGACCACCAGUGGCGAAGGCUGCUGACUAGAACACGUCUGACGGUCAGGGACGAAAGCUGGGGUAGCGAACCGGAUUAGAUACCCGGGUAGUCCCAGCCGUAAACGAUGCAUGCUAGGUGUUGGGUUGGCCACGAGCCACCCCAGUGCCGCAGGGAAGCCGUUAAGCAUGCCGCCUGGGAAGUACGAUCGCAAGAUUGAAACUUAAAGGAAUUGGCGGGGGAGCACCACCAGGCGUGAAGCCUGCGGUUUAAUUGGAUUCAACGCCGGG